rnacentral:rRNA from 1 species
UUGAACUGAAGAGUUUGAUCCUGGCUCAGAUUGAACGCUGGCGGCAUGCCUUACACAUGCAAGUCGAACGGCAGCACGGGUGCUUGCACCUGGUGGCGAGUGGCGAACGGGUGAGUAAUACAUCGGAACAUGUCCUGUAGUGGGGGAUAGCCCGGCGAAAGCCGGAUUAAUACCGCAUACGAUCUACGGAUGAAAGCGGGGGACCUUCGGGCCUCGCGCUAUAGGGUUGGCCGAUGGCUGAUUAGCUAGUUGGUGGGGUAAAGGCCUACCAAGG